UCUCCGCCUGUGAAGCUGAGUAACACGAACUCGACAUGUACCUCCAAGUCGUCAAUGAAAUCCAACGCAACAUGGACUUAAUCACCGUCUGAGAAGUAUCGGUUUACAACCUUAAUAUCAAAUGGCUGCUGCAAAUAAUACUUUUGGCUAGAUUAAAAUUUAAGAAGGAACAUCUUGUGCUUAUAACUUACAUCUGCCAAAUGGAGUCUCUGAACCAAUUGGUUGUAGAUUCUGGACUCCCUGUACAGAACCAGAAACAGAAGAGAGAGAAAGAGAAUAGAGAGGAGAGAGAAAGAGAAGCAUUAGAAGUGGGAUGAGUCUGGGCCCAUCUGCAAAACGCCACAUUCCCAAUUUUUAUUUGAGUGUUUAAAGGGUCUGCAUAUGGACGCAUUAAAGUCGGAUGAGUCCUUCCAAAGACACAUGAGGGUGACAAAUCUGAAAAUACUUUUGGUCAACCUACAUUUUCCUAAUUUUCCCAUUAUUUAUUAGAAGUAAGAUUUUAGGUAUGAAUCAUGUAUAUAAUAGUUCUCUAGAAAUGUAAUCAUCACAGAAAAUAAAACCAGAAGCACCAAACUGUUUUGUUAACAUGUGAAUACGAAGAAUGUUUAACCCUUC